rnacentral:tRNA from 1 species
CUGUGGCUCAGUGGUAGAGCAUCUGCUGGGCAGGCAGAAGGUCCUAGGUUCAAUCUCCAGCUAAAAGG